UACAGAGGGGGCGAGCGUUGUUCGGAAUUACUGGGCGUAAAGGGCGCGUAGGCGGCCCGCUAAGUCGAACGUGAAAUCCCCAGGCUCAACCUGGGAACUGCGUCCGAUACUGGCAGGCUUGAAUCCGGGAGAGGGAUGUGGAAUUCCAGGUGUAGCGGUGAAAUGCGCAGAUAUCAGGAGGAACACCAAUAGCGAAGGCAGCACUCUGGUACGUGACUGACGCUGAGACGCGAAAAGCGUGGGGGAGCAAACAGG
rnacentral:rRNA from 1 species